rnacentral:rRNA from 1 species
AGCGAACGCUGGCGGUAGGCCUAACACAUGCAAGUCGAACGAACCCUUCGGGGUUAGUGGCGGACGGGUGAGUAACACGUGGGAACGUGCCUUUAGGUUCGGAAUAGCUCAGGGAAACUUGUGCUAAUACCGAAUGUGCCCUUCGGGGGAAAGAUUUAUCGCCUUUAGAGCGGCCCGCGUCUGUUUAGCUAGUUGGUGAGGUAAUGGCUCACCAAGGCUACGAUCAGUAGCUGGUCUGAGAGGAUGACCAGCCACAUUGGGACUGAGACACGGCCCAAACUCCUACGGGAGGCAGCAGUGGGGAAUCUUGCGCAAUGGGCGAAAGCCUGACGCAGCCAUGCCGCGUGGAUGAUGAAGGUCUUAGGAUUGUAAAAUCCUUUCACCGGUGAAGAUAAUGACUGUAGCCGGAGAAGAAGCCCCGGCUAACUUCGUGCCAGCCGCCGCGGUAAGAC